CCGAGGUUGUUCUUCCUGCCAAGGGAACGAGGGCACACAGAGCCUUCUGUCCACAGAGCGCUCGCCUUGGCCCAGGCACAAAUAGGAGCUUUUCUUUCCUCCUGCUCACAAGGCACCAAUAAUGAGGUGUUUGGCCAUGGAAACCGGAAUUGCUUCAGCCUCAGUAAGAAGGAUUCGGUGUUUGCAGGCUCAGCAUCAUUUCUCACAGCACACUGUUGCUCUUGAAUUGCACACCAGAACCUGAGAAGGAAAGAGGAGGAGAGAGGGGUGAAUAACUGCAUUGGAUUUUCUAACUACAAAUUCUUUCUACUGUUCUUAGCCUAUUCUUUGUUGUAUUGCUUGUAUAUUGCUGCAACAGUCUUCAAGUAUUUCAUUAAGUAUUGGACAGUAAGUCAUGAAAUCCAGUUCCUUUUUCAUCUCCUGUCAGUCUCGUGGGCUUCAGUGACUCUCGGUGCUUUGUUGCUCUCAGGCAGUGAAGGAAGGGGCUGCAUUUUCCUGGGAGGUGUUUCCUGGGCCCUUUGGGCAUCCACCUCUUGUUAGAUGUGCAAAAUGCACAA